rnacentral:tRNA from 1 species
GCGCUCUUAGUUCAGUUCGGUAGAACGCGGGUCUCCAAAACCCGAUGUCGUAGGUUCAAAUGUUCAAAUCCUACAGAGCGUG